UGUCAACAACACUGGCGAGAAGAAGUAAAUAGAAGUGCAGUGAAGCAUGAAAUUAUGCAAUUGCUAUUUUAAAGGCGUGAUAGUGGAAGAACAAACAAAUCAGCUAAACAAGUUAACGCUACUCAACUGGCUAUUUGUGACUAGCCGACUUGGUCAGACGCGUGCGACGACCUAGCGAGCUGGGGUGGAUGAAGGGAGAUGGAACAGGUAAUGGAUUCAGUUUUCUGGCUG